rnacentral:lncRNA from 1 species
UUUUAAGAAGUGAACAACCAAGUUAUUUGCCUGGAAAAGUCUCCUGAAAUACUGAAGUUAUGCUAAAGAAGGAGAAGAGAAAGGAAGCUGCAGUCCCUGUAUAACUCCUAAAUUUUUAAUUUGGAGUUCCUCUUCUUCGGUGCAACAAUCUUUCUGCAUGCACAGAUCCAUGUGGCACUCAUCUCAUCAUUCUGAGGGAAGAAAGAUGCAUAGGGAAUGUUGCAUGUGGUUAUUUCUGCACCAUGGCAAUAUGUUUUCUUGAAAUGAAGCUAAGGACUGGGAAAUUGAAAGUAAUCCUCAUGCUUUUUGAUAAUGCACCUCCUCAGGAAUAAUAUCAAAGUAACACCUGAACAAAAAGGGCUGGUUCAGGUGACCACAGAGUGACAGUUUCUCUCAAGUGCACAUUAUCCAUCAAGAAGAUUUAAAUCAUUUUGAAAUAUUAAUAUAAUGAUCAAAAAUUAACUUUUAUACAUGUUAUUAGGCAGAACCCACAGAAAACAAUAAAGCACGAGAGAAAAGAGGAUGGCAGUUUACCCAGGAAACAUAGGUUGUGCAAAGCUUUGCAAUGAUACUCUCAAUUCAGAGCAAUGAAGAACAGAAUGCUGUCUUCCCAUAAUGAUGGCAUUCAAUUAUCACUAGACUUACAAGACUACAGAAAAUUUCUCAAGAACCAGUAAGGAUCAGACAGAGCCAAUGACAAUACUGAAGAAGCUUGCCAGUGGAGAAUGAAAGCUCAGUUACACAAAUUACGUUGUUGAACCAGUGCCAGAAAUAAAAUGUGAUGGACAAACUCAUUAAU